rnacentral:rRNA from 1 species
AUUGAACGCUGGCGGCGUGCUUAACACAUGCAAGUCGAGCGGUGAAGCAGGAGCUUGCUCCCGUGGAUCAGUGGCGAACGGGUGAGUAACACGUGAGCAAUCUGCCCUGGACUCUGGGAUAAGCGUUGGAAACGACGUCUAAUACCGGAUACGAGGCGUGGGGGCAUCCCCAACGCCUGGAAAGAACUUCGGUCCAGGAUGAGCUCGCGGCCUAUCAGGUAGUUGGUGAGGUAACGGCUCACCAAGCCUACGACGGGUAGGCGGCCUGAGAGGGUGACCGGCAACACUGGGACUGAGACACGGGCCAGACUCCUACGGGAGGCAGCAGUGGGGAAGAUUGAACAAUGGGCGCAAGACUGAUGCAGCAAAGCCGCGUGAGGGACGACGGCCUUCGGGUUGUAAACCUCUUUUAGCAGGGAAGAAGCGAAAGUGACGGUACCUGCAGAAAAAGCACCGGCUAACUACGUGCCAGCAGCCGCUGUAACAC